CCUGAUAGCAAGUGCUAUAGCACUGUCUGCGGGGCUACAACUCGCCGCUUACUACUCAGCCAUACUACC
rnacentral:tRNA from 1 species